AUCUUCCGCAAUGGGGGCAACCCUGACGGAGCGACGCCGCGUGGACGAUGAAGGCCGAAAGGUUGUAAAGUCCUUUUCCUGGUGAAGAACAGGGGGGUGAGGAAAUGCGCCCCGACCGAUGACGUUAGCCAGGGAAUAAGCCCCGGCAAAUUACGUGCCAGCAGCCGCGGUAACACGUAUGGGGCAAGCGUUGUUCGGAAUCAUUGGGCGUAAAGGGCGUGCAGGCGGCCGCGCAAGUCUGGUGUGAAAGGCUCGGGCUUAACCCGAGAGGCGCGCUGGAAACUGCGGGGCUUGAGUUCCGGAGAGGAAGCUAGAAUUCCAGGUGUAGGGGUGAAAUCUGUAGAGAUCUGGAAGAAUACCGGUGGCGAAGGCGAGCUUCUGGCCGAGAACUGACGCUGAGGCGCGAAAGCGUGGGGAGCAAACAGG
rnacentral:rRNA from 1 species